rnacentral:rRNA from 1 species
GACGGAGGGAGCGAGCGUUGUCCGGAUUUACUGGGCGUAAAGCGCGCGUAGGCGGCCUUUUAAGUCGGCUGUGAAAGCGCUGGGCUCAACUCAGCAAGCGCAGUCGAUACUGAUUGGCUCGAGUCCGGGAGAGGGAAGCGGAAUUCCUGGUGUAGCGGUGGAAUGCGUAGAUAUCAGGAAGAACACCGGUGGCGAAGGCGGCUUCCUGGACCGGUACUGACGCUGAGGCGCGAAAGCUAGGGGAG